rnacentral:rRNA from 1 species
AGUGAACGCUGGCGGUAGGCCUAACACAUGCAAGUCGAGCGGCAGCACAGUAAGAGCCUGCUCUUACGGGUGGCGAGUGGCGGACGGGUGAGGAAUACAUCGGAAUCUACUUUUUCGUGGGGGAUAACGUAGGGAAACUUACGCUAAUACCGCAUACGACCUACGGGUGAAAGCAGGGGAUCUUCGGACCUUGCGCGAUCGAAUGAGCCGAUGUCGGAUUAGCUAGUUGGCGGGGUAAAGGCCCACCAAGGCGACGAUCCGUAGCUGGUCUGAGAGGAUGAUCAGCCACACUGGAACUGAGACACGGUCCAGACUCCUACGGGAGGCAGCAGUGGGGAAUAUUGGACAAUGGGCGCAAGCCUGAUCCAGCCGUACCGCGUGGGUGAAGAAGGCCUUCGGGUUGUAAAGCCCUUUUGUUGGGAAAGAAAAGCAGCAGGUUAAUACCCCGCUGUUCUGACGGUACCCAAAGAAUAAGCACCGGCUAACUUCGUG